CGAAUGGCUCAUUAUAUAAGUUAUCGUUUAUUUGAUAGUACCUUACUACUUGGAUAACCGUGGUAAUUCUAGAGCUAAUACAUGCUAAAAAUCCCGACUUCGGAAGGGAUGUAUUUAUUAGAUUAAAAACCAAUGCCCUUCGGGGCUCCUUGGUGAUUCAUGAUAACUCCUCGAAUCGCAUGGCCUUGUGCCGGCGAUGGUUCAUUCAAAUUUCUUCCCUAUCAACUUUCGAUGUUUGGGUAUUGGCCAAACAUGGUUGCAACGGGUAACGGAGGGUUAGGGCUCGACCCCGGAGAAGGAGCCUGAGAAACGGCUACUACAUCCAAGGAAGGCAGCAGGCGCGCAAAUUACCCAAUCCCGACACGGGGAGGUAGUGACAAUAAAUACUGAUACAGGGCUCUUUCGGGUCUUGUAAUUGGAAUGAGUACAAUUUAAAUCCCUUAACGAGGAACAAUUGGAGGGCAAGUCUGGUGCCAGCAGCCGCGGUAAUUCCAGCUCCAAUAGCGUAUAUUAAAGUUGUUGUGGUUAAAAAGCUCGUAGUUGAACCUUGGGCCUGGCUGGCCGGUCCGCCUCACCGCGUGUACUGGUCCGGCCGGGCCUUUCCCUCUGUGGAACCCCAUGCCCUUCACUGGGUGUGGCGGGGAAACAGGACUUUUACUUUGAAAAAAUUAGAGUGCUCCAGGCAGGCCUAUGCUCGAAUACAUUAGCAUGGAAUAAUAGAAUAGGACGUGUGGUUCUAUUUUGUUGGUUUCUAGGACCGCCGUAAUGAUUAAUAGGGACAGUCGGGGGCAUCAGUAUUCAAUUGUCAGAGGUGAAAUUCUUGGAUUUAUUGAAGACUAACUACUGCGAAAGCAUUUGCCAAGGAUGUUUUCAUUAAUCAGGAACGAAAGUUAGGGGAUCGAAGACGAUCAGAUACCGUCGUAGUCUUAACCAUAAACUAUGCCGACUAGGGAUCGGACGAUGUUAUUUUUUGACUCGUUCGGCAC
rnacentral:rRNA from 1 species